rnacentral:tRNA from 1 species
GCAGCGGGCGUCGUGGGGGGGGCGAGGCGUGCUGUCGGUGGGUUGAGCUGCGGCGGGCGCACGCUGCCAGCGUUCCAGGCGCUGCUGUUGCUCCA